GGUGGCUGAGAUGCAGCGGAGCGGAGGUGGAGUGCCUGGAUUAAAACAGGACAUAUUAGCAGCAUUUAACCUUCAGUUACUCUUUAUGUAGUUAGAUAGGAGUCAUGUUUCUUUUUAGCUGAAAAACCUUACACCCAGAGAGACAGCCAGGUUCAUAAUGGAUAUAAGGAAGUUUUUUCAAAAACAGAAGCCACAUUCAGUCCAAAGAGAGAGAGAGGAAAGAGGGGAACGUGAGGAGAAAGUACAAGGUCAGGAAGAACCAGAAGCUGUUGUCAUCAGUCACUUUCCUCGUUGUGUUGAUGGUGAGCUGCUCUUUAUGGACCUGAAACAAAGUUAUAACAAACAGCUGUGAAACAGACUGAUGCACAUGUAUGUAAAUUAUAUACGCUGCCCUCUGACAUGCACUACAUUAUGUGUGCAGUUUCAUUAUUCUAGAGAAACCAAUAAAAAUAAUCAAUAAAAGCUGGAU
ensembl:lncRNA